GCUACCAUGCAGUCGAACGAUGAAGCCCAGCUUGCUGGGUGGAUUAGUGGCGAACGGGUGAGUAACACGUGAGUAACCUGCCCUUAACUCUGGGAUAAGCCUGGGAAACUGGGUCUAAUACCGGAUAGGAGCGUCCACCGCAUGGUGGGUGUUGGAAAGAUUUAUCGGUUUUGGAUGGACUCGCGGCCUAUCAGCUUGUUGGUGAGGUAAUGGCUCACCAAGGCGACGACGGGUAGCCGGCCUGAGAGGGUGACCGGCCACACUGGGACUGAGACACGGCCCAGACUCCUACGGGAGGCAGCAGUGGGGAAUAUUGCACAAUGGGCGAAAGCCUGAUGCAGCGACGCCGCGUGAGGGAUGACGGCCUUCGGGUUGUAAACCUCUUUCAGUAGGGAAGAAGCGAAAGUGACGGUACCUGCAGAAGAAGCACCGGCUAACUACGUGCCAGCAGCCGCGGUAAUACGUAGGGUGCGAGCGUUAUCCGGAAUUAUUGGGCGUAAAGAGCUCGUAGGCGGUUUGUCGCGUCUGUCGUGAAAGUCCGGGGCUUAACCCCGGAUCUGCGGUGGGUACGGGCAGACUAGAGUGCAGUAGGGGAGACUGGAAUUCCUGGUGUAGCGGUGGAAUGCGCAGAUAUCAGGAGGAACACCGAUGGCGAAGGCAGGUCUCUGGGCUGUAACUGACGCUGAGGAGCGAAAGCAUGGGGAGCGAACAGGAUUAGAUACCCUGGUAGUCCAUGCCGUAAACGUUGGGCACUAGGUGUGGGGACCAUUCCACGGUUUCCGCGCCGCAGCUAACGCAUUAAGUGCCCCGCCUGGGGAGUACGGCCGCAAGGCUAAAACUCAAAGGAAUUGACGGGGGCCCGCACAAGCGGCGGAGCAUGCGGAUUAAUUCGAUGCAACGCGAAGAACCUUACCAAGGCUUGACAUGUUCUCGAUCGCCGUAGAGAUACGGUUUCCCCUUUGGGGUGGGUUCACAGGUGGUGCAUGGUUGUCGUCAGCUCGUGUCGUGAGAUGUUGGGUUAAGUCCCGCAACGAGCG
rnacentral:rRNA from 2 species